rnacentral:rRNA from 1 species
UACGUAGGGUGCAAGCGUUGUCCGGAAUUAUUGGGCGUAAAGAGCUCGUAGGCGGUUUGUCGCGUCUGCUGUGAAAACUCGGGGCUUAACCCCGGGCCUGCAGUGGGUACGGGCAGACUAGAGUGCGGUAGGGGAGACUGGAAUUCCUGGUGUAGCGGUGAAAUGCGCAGAUAUCAGGAAGAACACCAACGGCGAAGGCAGCUCGCUGGGACGGUACUGACGCUGAGACGCGAAAGCGUGGGGAGCGAACAGG